GAGGGUAUAGCUCAAGUGGUAGAGUGUGUAUGCUUAGUAUGCACGAGGUCCUGGGUUCAAUCCCCAGUACCUCCU
rnacentral:tRNA from 1 species